AGAGAGAAAGCUUCUCACACUAUAAAUUCUUGCUCUUUCUCUCCAUUAACCCUACCUAAAAAUUUUCUCGUGAAAGAAGUUGCUUUGAGUUUCGUUUACGGUUUUUGA